rnacentral:rRNA from 1 species
GACGAACGCUGGAGGCGUGCUUAACGCAUGCAAGUCGAACGAUGAAAUGGAGCUUGCUCCAUGGAUUAGUGGCGAACGGGUGAGUAACACGUGAAUAACCUGCCCUUAAUUUUGGAAUAACCCAGGGAAACCUGGGCUAAUACCGGAUAAGUAAACCUGUGGCAUCACAUGGUUUUGGAAAGUUUUUCGAUUAAGGAUGGAUUCGCGGCCUACCAGCUUGUUGGGGAGGUAAUGGCUCACCAAGGCGACGACGGGUAGCCGGCCUGAGAGGGUGAACGGCCACACUGGGACUGAGACACGGCCCAGACUCCUACGGGAGGGAGCAGUGGGGAAUAUUGCGCAAUGGACGAAAGUCUGACGCAGCGACGCCUCGUGAGGGACGAAGGUCUUCGGAUUGUAAACCUCUUUCAGCAGGGACGAAGCGAAAGUGACGGUACCUGCAGAAGAAGCACCGGCUAACUAUGUGCCAGCCGCCGCCGUAA